GACGAACGCUGGCGGCGCGCCUAACACAUGCAAGUCGAACGGAGCUUGAGAGAGCUUGCUUUUUUAAGCUUAGUGGCGAACGGGUGAGUAACGCGUGAGUAACCUGCCCUGGAGUGGGGGACAACAGUUGGAAGCGAUAGCUAAUACCGCAUGACAAUGGAGGACCCAUGUCUUUCAUUUAAAAGGUAGCAACUGCAUCACUAUGAGAUGGACCUGCGUUGUAUUAGCUAGUUGGUGAGGUAACGGCUCACCAAGGCGACGAUACAUAGCCGACCUGAGAGGGUGAACGGCCACACUGGGACUGGGACACGGCCCAG
rnacentral:rRNA from 1 species